GACGAACGCUGGCGGCGUGCUUAACACAUGCAAGUCGAACGGAAAGGCCCUGCUUUUGUGGGGUGCUCGAGUGGCGAACGGGUGAGUAACACGUGAGUAACCUGCCCUUGACUUUGGGAUAACUUCAGGAAACUGGGGCUAAUACCGGAUAGGAGCUCCUGCUGCAUGGUGGGGGUUGGAAAGUUUCGGCGGUUGGGGAUGGACUCGCGGCUUAUCAGCUUGUUGGUGGGGUAGUGGCUUACCAAGGCUUUGACGGGUAGCCGGCCUGAGAGGGUGACCGGCCACAUUGGGACAGAGGUACGGCCCAGACUCCUACGGGAGGCAGCAGUGGGGAAUAUUGCACAAUGGGCGGAAGCCUGAUGCAGCAACGCCGCGUGCGGGAUGACGGCCUUCGGGUUGUAAACCGCUUUCGCCUGUGACGAAGCGUGAGUGACGGUAAUGGGUAAAGAAGCACCGGCUAACUACGUG
rnacentral:rRNA from 1 species